rnacentral:tRNA from 2 species
CCCUGCUUAGCUCAACCUGUAGAGCGCUCCACUGGAAAAUGGAGAGGUCCCGGGUUCGAUGCUCGGACCAGGCG